AGAGAUUUGUAUCCAUUAUAUUCAGUAGCCUGCAUGUGUCCAAAUCACAAAUGAAAUGAUGUGGGCAAAUAUAAAUUAAAAUUGAAUGUUGCAGAAGUGGUUGAGGAACUUCACCAGGAUACAUUAAUGUACAAACUGAAAACUGAUGAAAGACUUCUGAAGAGAGAUUUGCUAGGAAAAAUAAAAAGAUAUAUAAAUUUCAGUGAUGCUGAAGGAGAGGAAGGAUGUGAUGUCUUUCCCCAUCCGUCAUAAGGGUCAUGGCCAACACUCCUAUAACAAAAGGUUUUGAGAAGCCAUCUGCAGCUCACAACUAGAUGAGUGACACAAUCAGAUGUGCGUAUGCAAAAAAAAGCCUGGAGACAUUGAACUAAGAUCAAAUUUAAUGUAUUAAAUAUGGUAGAAAGAAGAGAGAAUGAAAAAUAAUGUUAACAAUCUAGGUGAGGAAUUGCUGAGGAGACAAAUUAAGUAAAUCCUGUGGAAGGAAAGAAGAAAGGAGGAAAGAGGAUUGGAUGGAAGAAUCUCCACUUCUCAGUAAUUUGUUUAUUUACUUUAUUAGUUUACAUCCAUGUGAUUGGCAUCUAAAUUAUUAUUUUAAAGUUAGAUGACUUUUGCUAAUAUCCUUGUAUUUAAAUUUUUAAAAAUACAUCUUUUUAUUCUUCUA
rnacentral:lncRNA from 10 species